UGCAGAGCUCUUUCAAGAUCUGAUCCAGCUCCAGGAAAUAUGGAUCGCAGAAGCUCAGGUUCCUGAUGAUGAGCAGUUUGUCCCAGAUUUCCAGUCCAAUAACUUGAUGUUUCAUGGACCGCCUGUCGGCAAAGUGAAGAGAGAGCCCAGCCCAUC